AUGAGGACUCAAAAGAUAAAUGUGUGUUUUAUAAGAUUAAGCUACAAAGUAAUUAAUAAACAUAGCCACAAUGUGCAGCAAAUAAAAAGAAAGCAAAAGAGCCAAAGGAGAGACUACAGACCCAGUACUGUCCCUUCUGACACAGCCGGUGCUGGCAUGCACCUCUGUGAACAAAGAGCAUGUGUUCCAGUGACAUGCUUCUUUGUCAGGGGCUUCACUGCCAGAGGCAUAAAUAACACAGGCAGAACAGGGUGUGUCUCACUGCCCUGCCAACAUCUUCCACUGGACUGUCAGGGAACUCCCCUUUUGCUUCCUUUAAUAUGCAACCUUUCCUUUUUUAUUUUUUUAAUUGUUGUAAAAUAUAACAAAAUUCACCAUUUUAACCAUAUAAAAAGAGACAAUUUAGUAGCAUUUAGUUGUGCAACCACCACCACUACCUAGUUCCAAAACAUUUUCAUUCCCUGCUGAAGGAAACCCCAUACCCAUUAAGCAGUCACUCCCCCUUCUGGCCUCCCCUAGCCCCUGGAAACUCCUUACCAGCACAAAGUGAUGGUCAUGUCUCCAUAUCCAACCUGAGGCCUCCCCGCCUCAGCUUCUCAUUUCCAAUGAAAACUCGGCCACUUCCUACAAAGCUGAGAUUAGUAACAGAGCAGUCUCUAUAAAUGCCUCUCAGGAAAUGGCAACCCACUCCAGUUUUCUCGCCUGGAGAAUCCCAUGGACAAUCCCAUGGGUGUGUCCCAUGGGAGCCUGGCGGGCUACAGUCCAUGGGAUUGUAAAGAGAGUCGGACACAACUGAGCGACUAACACACACACACACACACACACACACACAGAUUUUAUAUAAGUUGAGUCAUAUAAUUUGAAGUCUUUCAAUACGGUGAAAAAGCCAACUAACAUCUUAAUAUUAUUAUGAAAAUAAUUUUGACCUUAUGGACCCCCUGAAAGAGUAUCACGAUUCCCCAGAGGUCUGCAGAGCAGACUCUCAAAACCGCUGGUCUAGGUCAUUCAGGGUGUGGGGUGUCAGCCAGCUCCCCAUGACAGCUUCUGUCCCAGCACAAAGUGAUGAUCAUGUUCCCAUAUCCAACCUGAGGCCUCCCCACCUCAGCUUCACGAUGAAAACUUGGCUACUUCCUACAAAGCUGAGAUUAGUAAUAGCAGUGGAUUUAUGUUCGAACUGCUUGAAGGAACCAAACCAUCAAAUGAGGACACAUUUUUAUGAGUAAUAAAUCUAAAUGUGAUUAAAAACA
rnacentral:lncRNA from 1 species